UGGGGAAUAUUGCGCAAUGGGGGAAACCCUGACGCAGCAACGCCGCGUGAGUGAGGAAGGACUUCGGUCUGUAAAGCUCUGUUAAUGUGGAAAAAUGGUUAGUGGUCUAAUAGGCCAUUAAUUUGAUGGUACACAUAGAGGAAGCACCGGCUAACUUCGUGCCAGCAGCCGCGGUAAUACGAAGGGUGCAAGCGUUGUUCGGAUUUAUUGGGCGUAAAGCGCGCGUAGGCGGACCUGCAAGUCAGAUGUGAAAUCUCGGGGCUCAACCCCGAAACUGCGUCUGAAACUACAGGUCUAGAAUCUUGGAGGGGGAAGGGGAAUUUCGCAUGUAGGGGUAAAAUCCGUAGAUAUGCGAAGGAACACCAGAGGCGAAGGCGCCUUCCUGGACAAGUAUUGACGCUGAGGCGCGAAAGCGUGGGGAUCAAACA
rnacentral:rRNA from 1 species